GUGCUCGCUUCGGCAGCACAUAUACUAAAAUUGGAAAGAUACAGAGAAGAUUAACAUGGCCCCUGUGCAAGGAUGACAUGCAAGUUCGUGAAGCAUUCCAUAUUUUU
ensembl:snRNA Gm25404 predicted gene, 25404